AACAACACUGGGGAAUACACCUGCCGGUAUGAGGAGAAAGAGAGCGGGAGAUGGAUCCUGUCCACCAGGAGCCAGGCUUUGACUGUUACCUUGAAAGAUCCUCCUCCUCGACCAGCGCUGACUGUGGAUCCCCCUUCAGGAGGGGUGAACGAAGGGUUCCCCCUGCUCAUCACCUGCACAGCCCCUGGGGAUGCCGGCAAAUGGAGGUUUCACUUCUACAAAGAUGGAGCAAAGAUUAUCCCCAAGGAGUCCAACAUCAGCUCUAGGAAUGUCUCUGUGUUCAGCAUCCCACAGGCUGGUCCCGGCAGUGCCGGGGAAUUCACCUGCGGGUACGAGGAGAACGUGAAUGGGAGGUGGGUCCCAUCCCCCAGGAGCUUGCCUGUGAACAUCACCGUGAAAGAUCCCCUUCCCUUGCCUGUGCUGAGCAUGGAUCCCCCGUCUGGAGUGGUGAGCAAAGGGGUCCCCUUAGUCAUCAACUGCACGACCCCCGGAGAUGCCAGAGAGUGGAGGUUUCACUUCUACAAGGAUGGGGCCGAGCUUAUCCCUGGGGACAUGGGGUCUGAGAUCAGCACCACGG
rnacentral:lncRNA from 1 species